rnacentral:rRNA from 1 species
AGCAGCCGCGGUAAUUCCAGCUCCAAUAGCGUAUAUUAAAGUUGUUGCAGUUAAAAAGCUCGUAGUUGAACUUCAGGCCUGUCCAGAUGGUCCGCCUUAAUUGGUGUGUACUGUCCUUGGGUGGGUCCUACCUUCUGGCGAAGCGGCAUGGCCUUAGUUGGUUGUGUCGGGGAACCAGGACUUUUACUGUGAAAAAUUAGAGUGUUCAAAGCAGGCAUAUAUGCUCGAAUACAUUAGCAUGGAAUAAU